rnacentral:rRNA from 1 species
AUACGGAGGGCGCAAGCGUUGUUCGGAAUCAUUGGGCGUAAAGCGGGUGUAGGCGGUGAAGUCAGUCGGAUGUGAAAUCCCAGGGCCCAACCCUGGAACUGCAUUAGAAACUGCGUGACUUGAGUCUCGGAGAGGGUGGCGGAAUUCUGGGUGUAGAGGUGAAAUUCGUAGAUAUCCAGAGGAACACCAGCGGCGAAGGCGGCCACCUGGACGAUGACUGACGCUGAGACGCGAAAGCGUGGGGAGCAAACAGGAUUAGAAACCCCAGUAGUCC